rnacentral:rRNA from 1 species
AACGAACGCUGGCGGCGUGCCUAACACAUGCAAGUCGAGCGCGAAUGGAGCAAUCCUAGUAGAGCGGCGCACGGGUGCGUAACACGUGGAUAAUCUGCCUGGAAGCCUGGGAUAACCAGUCGAAAGAUUGGCUAAUACCAGAUAAGCCCACAGGGACUUCGGUCCUCGAGGGAAAAGGUGGCCUCUGUAUACAAGCUAUCACUUCUAGAUGAGUCCGCGGCCCAUCAGCUAGUUGGCGGGGUAAGU